CUGAUAGGCAAGGAGCCCUUUGAAACGGAACUGUGUGACAUGGCAAGAACACAGCCAGGCCACCCCUGUGCCCGAUGGUCUGUGGUGCUGUGUGAGCCCAGGGCACGGCCCCAGGGGUCCUGGGGGUCCCACAGGUGUGGUGCAUGCAGGGAGAGGAAGCAGAGUCCGUGCUGCCUUGCUGGAGUUGCUGUGCUGCAGUGCUGAAGGGGAUAUUACUGCCGUCAUAAGGUGGGAACUUUUCCUGCCCAGCUCUCCUUAUGGGAUAUGGUCCUGACAGCCCGGCCAGGGUCAGUAUGGGAUGAGGGUGAGUAUAUAGCAGCAGCGGGGCUGCCCCAAAGCAGAAGGGCACUGAGGGGUGUGAAGGCACCUCAGGGUCUUCUCUGAACCCAACACGGAGCACUGAGUGCACGAUCUGCUGAGCUGCUUAUCUUUGGGUCUGAUAACAGCAUGCCGAGCAGCGCGAUGUGUGGAUAUAUUUGCAGAUGAUUAAUAUUAGCAGAUACAUUGCACUUAUUGAGGGUAAUAAUUCAGUGGUAAUUUACUGCUGGGAAUGAUGGGAAAGCCUCCUCAAGGCCCUGGGUCACAGAGGGAAGGUGGUGCAGCCCCCAGCAGGGAGGGGGGUGGUUUGUGGGUGCUGUUGCUGGUGGGCAGCGCUCCCAUCCCAUCCCUCCUUUCAUUCCAUCCCUCUGACCUGUAGAGCCAUGUGAUGGAGAUGUGGGGCUCACCUGAAAGGCAGCCAUCAGCUGCCGUGGGGAUCAGCAGCGUUAUCAGGGCAGGAAUGAGGAACACCACGUCCUGGAGGGAGACGGUGGCAUUAUUUACAGCGCUGGGCUGAAGAAGGGAAUGCAGAGUGGAGCUGGGAGGCUCAGCACCACGUAGGAUAUUUUGUGGUGUGAACGUAGAGCUGCAAAGAGCUUUCUGGGUAUCUCCUGUGCCCCGUGUGCUCGUGGCCUUUACUGCCUUCCUCAGCCCCAAAGGCAAGGGAGGGUGGGGAGAGAUGAGCCCAUGGCCCCUGCAAGCCUACAGCCCUAUGGUGACACAUGGUGACAUAUGGUGUUGGUUGACCUUCUUAUGGGAAACCCGUGGACCAGGAGGGCAGGGAGGGCACGGUGUGAUCUGAACAAGUGAGUCUCCAAAUGGGGGGGUUUGCAGCACAGUGCUCCCCAUCCUGGGGGGCAGAGCCUCAGUCCCAUAGAGGACACAGAUGGGGCCGGAGGCAUCGCCCUGCUGACUGCCCGUCCUGCUCUGCCUCGGGUGACCUUGAGCAUGGGCUGUUAUCUCACUUGUGAAAUAGGCACAAGAUAGCUGCCUCCUCGGAGGGAACGCAACGCGUGAGCAUCAGCAGAAGCGCCGGGAGCGGGGAGCAGCCCCGACCCACACCUUGCUCUGAAAAUGCCUUGCAUUGCGGGGCUGGGGGGGUGCGGGGGCUCAGGUGCAGUGGGGCCGUGGGUGCCGGUGCUGAGGAAUUUGGGCUCGGGGCUGGCUGCGGGCUCUGCCUCCCAUCCCUGAGCCCUAAACCCCCUCGAGGCUCUCUUCCCACUCUUUGAAUUAGCAGAGCCAUCAGCUGUGAGGCCUUUUGGAUUCCAAGAAAGGGAGGUUUUCCAAUUUGUAAAAUUCCCCCUCUAAAUGAGUGGGGGGAGGAGGGGAGCAGCCCGGCCGUGUGCAGCUUCUCCCCCCCAUCCUCCCGCACAGCGUGGUGUGAGGUGGUGCAAAGCUUUGGGACGCUGCUGGGAUGAUGGAUGGGGGCUGUGCGUGGGGCGUGGGGGGCUGCACCUGAAGAACCAUCGUGGUUCCAG
ensembl:lncRNA